rfam:Triticum aestivum genome assembly, contig: Triticum_aestivum_CS42_TGACv1_scaffold_406611_5BL
CUUGUACUCCCUCUAUCUGGAAAUACUUGUCAUUGAAAUGGAUGUAUCUAGAUGUAUUUUAGUUCUAGACACAUCCAUUUUGAUGACAAGUAAUUCCGGACAGAGGGAGUACUUG